UGGUGAACGUGACUCGACGCCGGAUGAUUACUACUGACUGGUUGGCGUCACCUCUGGAAAUGUAAACUGACUGUGGUUACAGGCUGUGCAGUAAAACGUUUUAAAACAACAUAUGGCUGUGAAUGACCGGCAGGUGCUUCUAGAGGCCCUGCCCCUGCCGGAGGAUCCUCUGCUGGAAGGGCUCUCAGAGCCUACAAGCCUGAUCCAGCCAAACAUGAAGAGAGGAGACGUUGGAUCCAGAGAGGACCCCUGCAGGCAAGCUUAGAGGCUCACCCUCUUUAGGGAGAGACCUGCUUGUUUUGUUCCGAGUGUUGCGGUGAGGAGGGUAGUGUUGGUGUCCCUUUGGGCACCAUCUCAGGAGCACCCCAGGGAGUCAAGGGGAUGUGCUUGUCAGAGGCAUUCUUCCAGGCUCUGCUGGUUUUGUGCUUAAUAGGCCCCCCUCCAAUAUUCUGCAUGAAGACUAGGGGUUCAGCCUGGCAGCUGUUCAUCCAGGAGCCAGGAUCACCUAGCCCCGGUGAUCAGCCAGACACCGCCCUUCCUCUUCCUUUCCCCAGGCUGCUGAUGAGCACAGCUGACCUAAAUCCCUGUAAUGAGCCAUGCCUGGGAUGAAAGCCCACGCCAUCCAGCAGUCUGGGAGGCAGUAGUGCAGGGGUUCUGCUGUCCUCCAGGCCUCAGAUUUUGAUUUUCAACACCGUCGUUUCAUGAGUUUUAACAGAAAUGUUGAAGCUCUUAGAUGAUCCAGAGGGAUC